rnacentral:tRNA from 1 species
GAGGAAGAAUGCAAGAACUGCUAAUUCCUGCUACCAUAUAUGACAAUAUGGCUUCCCCG